rnacentral:rRNA from 1 species
AAUUGUUCGCAAUGGGGGCAACCCUGAAGGAGCGACGCCGCGUGGAGGAUGAAGGUCUUCGGAUUGUAAACUCCUGUCAUUAGGGAACAAGGUGCGAAAGGUUAACUGCCUCUUGCAUUGAUAGUACCUGAAGAGGAAGGGACGGCUAACUCUGUGCCAGCAGCCGCGGUAAUACAGAGGUCCCAAGCGUUGUUCGGAUUCAUUGGGCGUAAAGGGUGCGUAGGUGGCGGGGCAAGUCAGGUGUGAAAUCCCGGGGCUCAACCCCGGAACUGCAUUUGAUACUGCCUUGCUGGAGUACUGGAGAGGAGACUGGAAUUUACGGUGUAGCAGUGAAAUGCGUAGAGAUCGUAAGGAAGACCAGUGGCGAAGGCGAGUCUCUGGACAGUUACUGACACUGAGGCACGAAGGCCAGGGGAGCAAAC